GGAAUAUUGGUCAAUGGACGAGAGUCUGAACCAGCCAAGUAGCGUGAAGGAUGACUGCCCUACGGGUUGUAAACUUCUUUUAUGGGAGAAUAAAGUGAGGUACGCGUACCUUAUUGUAGGUAUCCCAUGAAUAAGCAUCGGCUAAUUCCGUGCCAGCAGCCGCGGUAAUACGGAAGAUGCGAGCGUUAUCCGGAUUUAUUGGGUUUAAAGGGAGCGUAGGCGGAAGCUUAAGUCUGCGGUAAAAUGUCGGCGCUUAACGUCGUCCUGCCGUGGAAACUGCGUUUCUUGAAUGUGCACAAGGUGGAUGGAAUUCGUGGUGUAGCGGUGAAAUGCUUAGAUAUCACGAAGAACUCCGAUUGCGAAGGCAGUCCACUGGGGCAUGAUUGACGCUGAGGCUCGAAAGUGCGGGAAUCAAACA
rnacentral:rRNA from 1 species